rnacentral:rRNA from 1 species
AAACCCGGGCUAAUACCGCAUAAGCCGGUGCUCGUAGGCGGACACGGGGAAAGUCGAGAGAUGCCGAAGGAGGAGCCUGCGUCCGAUUAGCUGGUUGGUAGGGUAAGAGCUUACCAAGGCGACGAUCGGUAGCCGGUCUGAGAGGACGGACGGCCACACUGGAACUGAGACACGGUCCAGACUCCUACGGGAGGCAGCAGUGGGGAAUUUUGGGCAAUGGGCGCAAGCCUGACCCAGCAACGCCGCGUGGAGGAUGAAGGUUUUCGGAUCGUAAACUCCUGUCCGGAGGGACGAAGCCAGUGACGGUACCUCUGGAGGAAGCCCCGGCUAACUCCGUGCCAGCAGCCGCGGUAAUACGGGGGGGGCAAGCGUUGUUCGGAAUUACUGGGCGUAAAGGGCGCGUAGGCGGUUUUGGAAGUCAUGGGUGAAAGCCCCGGGCUCAACCCGGGAAUGGCCUGUGAAACCACAGGACUGGAGUGCUGGAGAGGGAAGCGGAAUUCCCAGUGUAGCGGUGAAAUGCGUAGAUAUUGGGAGGAACACCGGUGGCGAAGGCGGCUUCCUGGACAGACACUGACGCUGAGGCGCGAAAGCCAGGGGAGCGAACGGGAUUAGAUACCCCGGUAGUCCUGGCUGUGAACGAUGAACACUUGGUGUAGGGGGUUUUGGAAAGUCCCUCUGUGCCGCAGAGAACUCGAUAAGUGUUCCGCCUGGGGAGUACGGCCGCAAGGCUGAAACUCAAAGGAAUUGACGGGGGCCCGCACAAGCGGUGGAGCAUGUGGUUUAAUUCGACGCAACGCGAA